ACAAACCCAAAUUGCAACUUUUCCUUCAUACUAGAAAAGCAAAAAAAAUGUUAAAGAAAACCCACCAACUUACUACAAUAUCAACUUAAUUAAGUUAGACGACCUUUAGUAUACGACACAAACUCUACGUUUUCUUUUAAAUAUCCAAACCAAUAAAAUCAAGUACGUGGCAAUCAAUACUAAACACAUUGUGUGAGGUCUAGACAUUGUCUCUUUUACCACUUGCUUCAAUGACUUGUUUUCCAUUCGAUAUUUUGUUAUCUUUGCCUCUAACUCGUCCUUCAUCUCUCAAUCUUUUCAGCAGCUUCCUUCUUUUCAUUUUUGACUAUUCUAUGGCUUCUUCGUAUUUAAUCAAGGAGCGAUGCCUUCGCUCUUCCCUCGAAUGGAACUUCUGCCCACCGAAAACAGCCACAACCAUUUGGUUGUUCACACAACUAAUUGUUAACAAAUCAACAACACCAUUCAAACUGUGAAAGAAAUACAGAAAAACUAAAAAUUUAAACAAAAAUUGAAACCUUAUAUCCAAGAAGGCAUCUCCAAAACCUCUUACCUGGAUUAUGGGGAGUAAAUGACCUCACUAAAUAACAUACCCCGUGAAUGCAGUAUUCUCUUGGAUUUGGAUACACCGAGUCAUCACUAUCGG
rnacentral:lncRNA from 1 species